rnacentral:rRNA from 1 species
AGUGAACGCUGGCGGUAGGCCUAACACAUGCAAGUCGAACGGCAGCACAGUAAGAGCUUGCUCUUACGGGUGGCGAGUGGCGGACGGGUGAGGAAUACAUCGGAAUCUACUUUUUCGUGGGGGAUAACGUAGGGAAACUUACGCUAAUACCGCAAACGGCCUACGGGUGAAAGCAGGGGAUCUUCGGACCUUGCGCGUUUGAAUGAGCCGAUGUCGGAUUAGCUAGUUGGCGGGGUAAAGGCCCACCAAGGCGACGAUCCGUAGCUGGUCUGAGAGGAUGAUCAGCCACACUGGAACUGAGACACGGCCCAGACUCCUACGGGAGGCAGCAGUGGGGAAUAUUGGACAAUGGGCGCAAGCCUGAUCCAGCCAUACCGCGUGGGUGAAGAAGGCCUUCGGGUUGUAAAGCCCUUUUGUUGGGAAAGAAAAGCAGCAGGUUAAUACCCCGCUGUUCUGACGGUACCCAAAGAAUAAGCACCGGCUAACUUCGUG